rnacentral:rRNA from 1 species
UACGUAGGGUGCGAGCGUUUGUCCGGAAUUAUUGGGCGUAAAGAGCUCGUAGGCGGCCUGUUGCGUCGGUUGUGAAAGCCCGGGGCUUAACCCCGGGUCUGCAGUCGAUACGGGCAGGCUAGAGUUCGGUAGGGGAGAUCGGAAUUCCUGGUGUAGCGGUGAAAUGCGCAGAUAUCAGGAGGAACACCGGUGGCGAAGGCGGAUCUCUGGGCCGAUACUGACGCUGAGGAGCGAAAGCGUGGGGGAGCGAACAGG